CCCUCGGCAUCCCCCUGUCCCGGGAGGGCGGGGGGAGGCAGAGCUCUCCUCCCGUGCCGCCCUCUCCCACCGGCCUCUCCGCUGCCGUUCCGGGAGAAGUGAUAGAAGUGACUGGGAGAGGCUCCGCGUUUCAGUGUCCUGGAAACACCUGGCACCUGCCAAACUGCGGACCAGAUGUGACUGAGGAGACUCACUGCAGCAUCUCAUAACUGGAAUUCAGAGGGACAAGGCUUUUUCUGAACAGCAGACCUGGGGAGACUGAAAGAAACUCUGCCUUUAUACAGGCAUAAAAACCAGGGGCUGUCUCUUGGCCAGUGUUCCUGAUGUUCCAGUAAGCUGUGUGCUGCACGGAGGUGUAGAACCCUAAUGGCUUGUUGUAUGCCAUUAAAAGAGGGCCAAGUUUUUAUCAGUGUUUUUGCAGAGUGGAACUGGAAGUUGCUGCCACACUCCAGCCAAUAACAUCGAGCACAGGGAAAAGUCCCUGUGUCAGUGGCACAGGGAGAGCAGGUUGUGGCACAUGAGGAAUGUGAACAGGAGUACGUUGCCAGGGCAACAGAGUGUAAGCAGGAGCACAGCACCUUGCAGAUCACAAAGGCAAAGCUGCAGAAAGAAAUUUCAGCGAGUUUCUCUCUCCCUUUUGCAAUGUAAUGACGACUUAUUUUUCAUGCACUGAUUUAAUAAUCUUAUUGAAAGAUCCUUUCCCUGUUUCUCUUAUUCUUGUCUGUCUGGGCGCGGACAAUGGUAAAAACCUGGAAUUGUCAAGCCCACUGGGCUCAGCAAACUAACAGAUGUAAUAUGUUUAGCAUUUUUAUGUAAUUACUUUUUAUUGCUAUUUUACCCCUACUUCUAUUCCUCCCCGGUUAGAUGCUGCUUCCCUUCCAUUCCGGCCCAAUCAGGGGAUGGAGAGGGGCUGGGGGAGAGUUGGUAAUUGACGGCAUUAAUCGGGAAUUAUUAGUGGGACGUGUUUUCAGGGGUGGGGGUUGGGUGCAGAAAGAGACCUUUUAGGAAGGGUGAAUUGAAUUAUGGGCGAUGCAAUAAUGAAGCCUCUGGGCUGUGAGCUGCAGAGGACACUCAUCCUCACAGAGCUCUGAGUGUUAUUUGUCAUGGGCUCUGCUCUGUGGGUGAAAAACAGUGCGUUGCCCUACUGACAUCCUCUGGGUGGGGGAGGUCUCAACUAGCUGGGCUGAAAAUGAAAGAAAAGCUGAUUUGGGAUGAUUAAAAAUGGAAACUUCUGGAGAUCUUCGAUGUUGGUUAGACAGGGAGCAGGAACGCUGCUACCAAACCCUCGGCAGGGCGCGGUUUGUGACCAGUCUGUCUCUUGUAAACAUUUUGCCUCUUGUUCUUUCCCAAGGGCCAGGGCCGGGGAAGGAAGCGUGGGAAAAGCAAUCUUUGCAGGCUGCAGAACUGGAGGUGGGGGAAGGCUCUGUGAGAUGAAGUACAAACCCCGGGUUGUCUCACAGCGGCUGAAGAAUUCCAAGAAGUUAGGAACAAAGGCUGUCACCUGAGCUCAGCAAUGCUGGGGCACUGUGUGUGGCAGGUCUUGGGCUGGCACAAGGAAGCAGCAGAGUGUGUGGGUUUGGAGGGCUGACAGGGCAAGGCUGAGGGAAAGGGCACUGGGAUGGGGGUUUGCAGCCUCAGCUGAGAAUGUCACAGUUUUGUGGUGUGAAUUCAGGCUCACUGAUGUUGCUGACAUGAAACCUUGCUUGAGGGUGCCAGUUCUUUAAAGCACAGCACAUAGAUUUACAUGUUCUGCAUUUUGCAAAAUAAUUACAUAAAAUAAUAUAGAAUAAUAUAUAUAAAAUUAUAUAUUUUCUAUAUGUAAAUAAUAUAUGAAAGCCAAGCAGCGUUCUCCCUACAGAAUUGCCUUAUGCCAAACAUUACUGGUUUUCUCUGAGUCAGCAUCCCCCAAGUCACUGUGAAUGUGAGCUGUUCCUUGAACCAGGGUUUCACAAAACAGCAAAAACUGCUUUGAGGCACAUGGCAGAAAUGGCUGGGAGCUGGAUUCAGGAGUGGGAGGUGGUUCUGCAGAAAGCAACAGGGACCAAACCCUUGGACCAGGUGUGGGGACAGUUGCCUGAAAGAGAGGAGAAAAUUCUGCUUGGAGACCUGGAUAUGAGGCACAUAACUCAUGGAUUUCCUGUGUCUCCAGAUAAGCAUUUACACCUGAGACAUCAGAGUCCAGGGAGUGAAGAGCAGCCUGGCUGCAGGGACAAGGGCAUGUUCAG